ACUGGGUUGGCCGAGUGGUUAAGGCGUUGGACUUAAGUUCCAAUGGACAAGUGUCCGCGUGGGUUCGAACCCCUCACCCAGUA
rnacentral:tRNA from 1 species